UCACAAGGAUUCAAGACACCUGCAGCAAAAUUAGUCAGCAUGGAGGACUAACGCGUGUUGGGUGCUUCCGCAUGGAACAGCUAAGAUACCCCACUUAACCAUCCUCGGCCAUAUCUGAAGGGGCUUUUUGCCGUGAAGGCGAAGAAGGGAAAUUAUCAGUAUGCCGGCUUAGAGCAGUUGAAAUGUCGACGUUCAAGAUUUCUUCCUCUUAUUUGAAAAAAAGGGAUGCACCGAAAGGAAAAUUCUUGGCGAAACCGAAAACUGAAAAAGAGGAAACCAAGGCCGAAAACCGAAACACCGAAAGAAAUUUGGCCAAUUAUUAGUACCCUUGCAUUUAUGGCUAUGACUGUGUACUAACUUUACUAAAAUCAAGGCAUUGCAAUUGCAUAAAUAUUAAAGUUUCAAAGAAUAAAUCAAUUACAAAUUAUGCAAAUAUUUAUGUAGCACAUUGCAACAAUGAACAGUAUAAAAUAAAAUUCAACUAAGAUGUUU